GUGGUUUUAUACGUGGAAAUUAAAUGGCCACAGGCAUAAAAGUAGAAAGUUAUCAGCCAGUUCACAUAUUUUUCCAUUACUUAUUGUUUCUUUAGGAAUAAGGGAUUCCCCAUCAAGCACCCCUACAGAAUUCUGCAAGAAUGGUGGGACCUGGAAUAAUGGCAGAUGUAUUUGUACUGAACAGUGGAGAGGACUGAGAUGUACGAUUGCGGGCAGUCCAAUGGCAAUCCGGCUGUGCAGUGUCUCUGAAUAUGGAGAGAUACAAUUACAAAACGUGACGUAUGGGAACUGCAAUAAGAAUCUGCAGACCCUGGAAAAGCAGGUGGAGAAUGACACAACAUUGAAUGUUACUAUUGCUACUGAAGCCCAGAUUCUAACAUCUAACAGCAAAGACUUAACUGCCGAGGACAUCACUUCUGCUACUAGAGUGGUUGGACAAAUC